UGCUGACUCCUCUUCAGUCCAAGAAGCCAGGGUGGGGCUUCUUUAUCUGCUGGGUCAUCUACCACCCCGAGGCUACAACAGGUGAUGCCAGGCUUUAUGUCACCAAAUUCUAGGACUCAGUCACCCCUCCGUCUCUUCUAGGUGAGGACAACUUAUAAGGGCAGUUUCUCUAUUCUUUGAGGCGCUGAUGUUGUAGCCAUGCUUCUCUCCUGGAAAUGUUCUUCCCUGGCAGUCCUCAUGUAGUUCUGCUCUGCAGCAUCUUACAGGUGUGACGUUGGGUGCUGCAGAUCUGGUCACUAUGGUACGAGAACGAAAAUGCAUAUUGUGCCACAUUGCGUACAGCUCAAAAAAGCCUUGUGAAAAGUGCAGUGCAGGAGUAUUAACAGUAUCCUAGAUGCCCACAAG
rnacentral:lncRNA from 1 species